rnacentral:rRNA from 1 species
AUUGAACGCUGGCGGCGUGCUUAACACAUGCAAGUCGUGCGGUAACAGGCGUAGCAAUACGUGCUGACGAGCGGCGAACGGGUGCGUAAUACAUGGGAAUCUGCCCUUUAGUGGGGAAUAACCCGGCGAAAGCCGGGCUAAUGCCGCAUAAGAUCUUCGGAUGAAAGCGGGGGAUCGUAAGACCUCGCGCUGAUGGAUGAGCCCAUGUCGGAUUAGCUAGNGGUGAGGUAACGGCUCACCAAGGCGACGAUCCGUAGCUGGUCUGAGAGGACGGCCAGCCACACUGGGACUGAGACACGGCCCAGACUCCUACGGGAGGCAGCAGUGGGAAUCUUGCGCAAUGGGCGAAAGCCUGACGCAGCGACGCCGCGUGAGGGAUGACGGCCU